GAGAGUCGUGUGCGGGAGAACCGCGCGCACGGUUCGGAAGGCGGGGAGGCCUCAAAGGCCUUCCCGGCCCCUAUCUUAU
rnacentral:misc_RNA from 1 species